GAUGAACGCUGGCGGCGUGCCUAAUACAUGCAAGUCGAGCGAACAGACGAGGAGCUUGCUCCUCUGACGUUAGCGGCGGACGGGUGAGUAACACGUGGAUAACCUACCUAUAAGACUGGGAUAACUUCGGGAAACCGGAGCUAAUACCGGAUAAUAUAUUGAACCGCAUGGUUCAAUAGUGAAAGACGGUUUUGCUGUCACUUAUAGAUGGAUCCGCGCCGCAUUAGCUAGUUGGUAAGGUAACGGCUUACCAAGGCGACGAUGCGUAGCCGACCUGAGAGGGUGAUCGGCCACACUGGACCUGAGACACGGUCCAGACCCCUACGGGAAGCAGCAGUAGGAAUCUUCCGCAAUGGGCGAAAGCCUGACGGAGCAACGCCGCGUGAGUGAUGAAGGUCUUCGGAUCGUAAAACUCUGUUAUUAGGGAAGAACAAAUGUGUAAGUAACUAUGCACGUCUUGACGGUACCUAAUCAGAAAGCCACGGCUAACUACGUG
rnacentral:rRNA from 1 species